GGGGGGGCUAUGACACCAAGGCUCUAGAUUGGCCACAGGGCUGGUCAGGGGCUCAGGCUGAGCCGGUUGUGAAUGCUGGUGGCAGAGAGCAGUUAGUACUGGCCUGUCAUCACUUUGUGCUCAGCAGGAACGGGUACAGCAAGAUGGCCAGGCGCUCACCCUUUCCCCUCUCAUUGUCCCAUUUGCUCCUCUUCUGGUGAACAACCGUGUGGGAGGAACUCUGGGUGGGCGCCCAAUUGGAUGGGUUCAUGUACAUUGAUCAGGGCACCUGCAAGCACUGUCUUGGAGUGAGCAUCGUGGGUAGUUGCUAAGCAUAGGUUCAACUGUGGUGUAUAGGGACUCUGCGCCCCACCCUACACAGAGGCCACAGAUAUAGCAAGGGCAAAGCCCAUCAUGGCUCUUUUUUGCACUGCAGAGAGGCCCAUGCCUCUUAGCUGCUAAGAGUGUUAUUUAAAGAACUGGACAGAGGAGGCUAUUUGCCAAACAUACGUUUUAUCAGGCCGCCAAAGCCCAGGAACAGUGCUGUGUAGGUGCACAUGUCCGCUACUGGCCUCUGAGCCGUUACCUUCCACUUUACCUGUCUGUGCCCUCCAGCCCAUGCCGCACAACUGCGAGCCAUGCUGAUGCCCAAAGCUGGUUGCCCCGCUGUGCUUUCCCAGCUGCCUUUCACGACCUAACUGGGAUUUAACCCCGCUGUGACCACCGUGCACGAGCGCGACAGCCCAGUGUAGCUGAGGCCUGUGGCACAAGAAAUAAGACCGCGACUUAUGGGCCUGGCGUGGGUGGAAGGCGGUGACCCUCACCCCUGUGGCUGCGGGGCCGUUAACACCAGUGGAUGCGCAGCGUAAACUGCCAUGGCAACACGGGCUGCUAAUCUGGCAGCCGGGGUGGAUGGGGCCAAACGGUGAUGGUGCCACCAUACGCUACCCCGGGCAGGGACCGGAACUAGACCACAGUUUUGAACACGCGCUCGGCCAGGCCUCGUGUACUAGACCCUCACUUGCCACAGCAGGUUCAAGCCUUUGUCAAACUACUUGCACACACAACCCCCCCCCCCAUUUUUUUGUGGGGGACGACGACAAUGUCUUGCCUGUUUCCUUUGCCUCUUCCAGGGGAAAGGCCAUGCCCGAUGAGCACAGGUGACCAGCCUCAGCCCUUCUGUGCUGCACUCCAACUGGCGGGACACACACGGCUUGUUGGACAGGCAUCCAGGCAGGCUCUGUUUCCGCCGACCCUGCAGAUAUGAUCUCAGCAAUGGAGCGCUUACAACACCAUAGAUGUCAGUGGGCCAUGCGCUCACCCUGGCCCGUGCUGGGUCGUUACAGAAUGCGAGCAUGGGUCUAACAAGAGCUGAGUGCGUAGGAGCUAAUCAGGCCGUUUACCCUCGCCUCCCGCUGCCAUUUUCUCAAACCGAUUUGCUGUCGUAAAUUAUUCACUCUGUCCUGUAGCUUGUCCAGCAACCAUUGCGGGCGUGUAUUUGACAUAUGGGGGAGGGGGGAGGUGGGGGCGGGUCUCUUAGUUCAUUCUGAUUGGCCAACCCAGGGAGACACUAGUGUUUGUGGUGUUCCCGCCCUGGAUGAGAAGGGCUUGGGUGCAACUCUUCACAGUUCCCGUUCAAAAAGCCACUGCCUUUGACUAGCCUGCAAUAUUUGAUUGAAAGUGUCUGGCCUGUCAGCAAACGCCUUUGCUAGCAUGGCAUGGAAAGCAGCUGUAAAACACGGUCUAAACAUGGGCAAAGCAAAUGCCUGUUCUGUUUUAAUCGGGGUGACCGGUCGCCUUUGGCGAGAUUUGCUCAGCGCUUGGCCCAUCGAUGGAAGGGAGCCUAAAAUGUGUUAGAAUGAGUCUGGGUCUCUCGUGAUCUUCUUUGCAGUGAUGAUGGGCCCUGGUCAGCUCCAGGAAAAGCCUAGCAUGCAAUUUAUGUCUGUCCACCCCACCAACACCCAUUAUAAAAAACUUUAAGACUGGGCUCAACUGUGCAUUUAAAUGCCAUGGUGCAGCCUGCAAGAGAAGGCUGAAAUUUGCAGUCCCGGAGGGGAACUGGACACACAAUUCCCAGCUGCCUUUCCGUAGCCUCUCCCUGCAGGAGCGUUGAAUAUCUCAGCUGAAAUAGGUGAUUUGGGGAGUUGCAGAAAAGACAAAUAAAGUGGCAUUGUGUGAAGGAGCCAGUCAUGUGACACAUACAAGCUGCUUCACUAAUACAUGGUUUGCAACUAAGCAAACAUGGUCUGGGCUGGCUGAGCAAUGCCGUUUUGUAGCCUGUAACAGCUUAUCAAAGCCAAAUCGCGUGUUUGAAUGGCAGGAUUUACAGGUGCAAUAUGACUGUUUAGUGGCACGUGCAGCCUCCCAUCUCUGCUUGUCCAGUGUGUGUGUCCAUAAACGUAGGGCUACAUUAAUGCCAAGCCACAAUAUGAGAUUGGCACCUUUCAGUAUGCUCUUUUCCGCCCACCCUGGGCCAAGCUAGAUAGGCAAUUAAGGGGAUACUCACUACAUAGCAGGAUAGAAGCAGCAUCAUGUCUCAGCCCAGCUGCUAUCAGGUUCCCUUGAACACGUAGGGUGGUUUAGGGUGACCAGAUGUCCUGAUUUUAUAGGGACAGUCCCGAUAUUUGGGGCUUUUUCUUAUAUAGGCUCCUAUUACCCCACCCCCCCCGUUCCAAUUUUUCACACUUGCUGUCUGGUCACCCUAGGGUGGUUUGUGAGGCAUCCUGGCUCACUCUGGGGUUGGCUCCCGCCUUGGCGUGCGUGCGUGUGUGAACGUCUUAUCCCAGAGUGCUGCUGAAAUGUCUUUGUUGCAUCCACAGGGCCGGAGAGCCGUGGGCUGGGCUAAGAUAAGGACUCUAAUGCGUGUCUCUCUCAGGAGGGGUUUUGGGCCUCAUCCAGUCUCUGUGUUGCUGUCUUAGUUGUCACUUUGCUGUUGUGUGUCUGCUGACAAAUAAACUCUGUUUUUUGUAAAAGGCACCGGAGAGCAGGCCCCCUGCCAGAGGAGACACUCAGCAGCCAGCCAGCAACCGUUGCUAGUCCCUGAGCCUCUGCAGUAUUCAGAUCCAAAACACCACGCGGAGGCAGCUGAGGAUUCUGUUCCAUAUUGAAAUGUAGGAAACCGUCAGACUGAUGCAGUCAUUCACACCUGUGCAACGGAGUGGCUUGGCUGUAACUGUUGGCAUGAUUUGGCCCGCAGAACCUUUAUGAAUGGUGUUUAGAGAAGGAAAAAGUGCAGCUUGGCUGAGAUCCUAGGCUGAGUCUGCAGUUGGAAGAGACCUCUCUCUGUUCACAAAGACUCAGAAAAGCACUUAAGCAUGCGCUUCGUUUUCAUUGAAGCCCAUGGGACUUAAGCACAUACAUAAAGCACUUUCCUAAACAGGGAUGGAUUCAAAUGUGCGUGCGCUUCCCUGGAGUGGCACCAAACUGAGCACAUGGGAUCAAGAAGUCAGAAACAAGCAAACAGUCACUGUUCAGAGCAGGAGGGCUUUCACUCGUGCCUCCCCACACAGGGAGGGAGGGUGCACAAUCUAAAAGGGAGGACACGUGACUGCCCCAUGUAUCUCCUCUGCCCAGUGACCUCUUCCCCGGCCCUGUGCCCAGCCCGGGGCUGCCACCUUCUGCCCGUCCCAUGUUACCUGUCAGGGGGAGGGGCUCUGUCCUCCUCCUACUGCACCUGCCCUGACCCCACUCCCGCUGCAUGGCCAGCCGCUCUCCCUGGCUCAGGCUGUCUGCUCAGGGUCGCUGCUCUGGGCUCCACAGCAGCUGCCUGAGAGAGCCUGGCUGGGGGGGUGGCAGCAGCAACCGGCUCCCUGACUGGGCUCAGCUGCUGGUGACAGGGGCCAAGCAUGCGGGGGUGGGGGGUGCACUCUGGCUUGCUCUGCCCCUGUCCCGGGAGGGAGGGGGAUCACAGAGUCACAGAACUGGAAGGGCCCUCAAGAGGUCAUCUAGUCCAGUCCCCUGCACUCAAGGCAGGAUGAAGUAUUAUCUAGAUCAUCCCUGACAGGUGUUUGUCCAACCUGCUCUUAAAAAUUCCCAAAGAUGGAGAUUCCGCAACCUCCCUACUCAAUUUAUUCCAGUGCUUCACUGCUCUGACAGUUAGGAAGCUUUUCCUAAUGUCCAACCUAAACUGCCCUUGCUGCAAUUUAAGCCCGUUACUUCUUGUCCUAUCCUCAGAGGUUAAGAACAACAAUUUUGCUCUCUCCUCCUUGUAACAAUCUUUUAUGCACUUGAUGGCCCGCUGCUGCGACCUCCCCAGCCAGGCUCUCUCAGGUAGCUGCUGCAACAGAGCAGCGACCCAGUGGCCAAUCCCACCCCUUCCACUCACCGCCUGGGCCUGGCUGCCAUUGUGUGGUGGUGGACGGGGGAGCGGGGGGGAGAAAGACAGGGACACGACAGGACGGACUUGACCCCACAUUCCCUCAGUACGCGUCCCCGAUCUGCAGACGAUAGGUGACUACGACGACAAAAAAACCACACACAACUCUAAAAAACAGGACCAAGAAAUAUGCUUCAUUUUUUCCAAUAGACUUUUUUCUUUUUUAUGAAAAACGGUCACACGGAAUUCUCCAACAAACAUAAUGCAAAAAAAAAAAAAAAAAUUAAAAACAAAAACAGAAAACAAAAGACAAAAACCUGGCUCUCCUUUCCUCUCGAUUGUCUGAAAAAUCCUUGUGUUCCAUAGAAGGCAUUGGGCAGUAAGUGCUUUCUAUUUAACAUUAGCAUAAAAUCUCUCUCUCUCUCUCUCUUUAAAAUUCGCUCACACAAUUUUGCUUCUAUAAGUCCAGUACACUUUGUGUGUGGCUGUUUGUGUGAGCCUGUUCCCAGAUCAUUUACAUUCACAAUCCAAC